GCGCCCGUGGCCUAAUGGAUAAGGCGUUUGACUUCUAAUCAAACGAUUGUGGGUUCGAGUCCCACCGGGCGUG
rfam:Brassica rapa chromosome A4, whole genome shotgun sequence.